GUGAACGCUGGCGGUAGGCCUAACACAUGCCAGUCGCACGGCAGCACAGUAAGAGCUUGCUCUUACGGGUGGCGAGUGGCGGACGGGUGAGGAAUACAUCGGAAUCUACUUUUUCGUGGGGGAUAACGUAGGGAAACUUACGCUAAUACCGCAUACGACCUACGGGUGAAAGCAGGGGAUCUUCGGACCUUGCGCGAUUGAAUGAGCCGAUGUCGGAUUAGCUAGUUGGCGGGGUAAAGGCCCACCAAGGCGACGAUCCGUAGCUGGUCUGAGAGGAUGAUCAGCCACACUGGAACUGAGACACGGUCCAGACUCCUACGGGAGGCAGCAGUGGGGAAUAUUGGACAAUGGGCGCAAGCCUGAUCCAGCCAUACCGCGUGGGUGAAGAAGGCCUUCGGGUUGUAAAGCCCUGUUGUUGGGAAAGAAAAGCAGCAGGUUAAUACCCCGCUGUUCUGACGGUACCCAAAGAAUAAGCACCGGCUAACUUCGUG
rnacentral:rRNA from 1 species